GGGAUUGCCUCAGUAACGGCGAGUGAAGCGGCAACAGCUCAAAUUUUAAAGCUGGCGUCCUCGACGCCCGCGUUGUAAUUUGGAGAGGCAUCUUCGGUUUGGGCGCCAGCCUAUGUUCCUUGGAACAGGACGUCACAGAGGGUGAGAAUCCCGUGCUUGGCUGGCUGUCCCUCUCCAUGUGAAGUGUCUUCGACGAGUCGAGUUGUUUGGGAAUGCAGCUCAAAAUGGGUGGUAAAUUUCAUCUAAAGCUAAAUAUUGGCGGGAGACCGAUAGCGCACAAGUAGAGUGAUCGAAAGAUGAAAAGCACUUUGAAAAUAGAGUUAAAAAGUACGUGAAAUUGUUGAAAGGGAAGCGCUUGAGACCAGACUCGGCCGGAGACGAUCAGCGGUCCUUCUGGGCCGUGCACUCGUCCUCGGUUGGGCCAGCAUCGGUUGAGACGGUGGGAUAAAGGUCCGGGGAAUGUGGCUCCUUUCGGGGAGUGUUAUAGCCUCGGGCGCAAUGCCACCAGUCUCGACCGAGGACCGCGCUCUUUUGCUAGGAUGCUGGCGUAAUGGUCUUCAGCGACCCGUCUUGAAACACGGACCAAGGAGUCUAACAUCUAUGCGAGUGUUUGGGUGUCAAACCCUUGCGCGUAAUGAAAGUGAACGUGGGUGGGAACCUCUCGUAAGGGGGGCGCACCAUCGACCGAUCCUGAUGUCUUCGGAUGGAUUUGAGUAGGAGCAUAGCUGUUGGGACCCGAAAGAUGGUGAACUAUGCCUG
rnacentral:rRNA from 1 species